rnacentral:piRNA from 1 species
UGAUCUCCCACUAAGAGCUAACACUGCUGG